UACGAAGGGGGCUAGCGUUGCUCGGAAUCACUGGGCGUAAAGCGCACGUAGGCGGAUCGCUAAGUCAGGGGUGAAAUCCUGGAGCUCAACUCCAGAACUGCCUUUGAUACUGGCAAUCUCGAGUCCGGGAGAGGUGAGUGGAACUGCGAGUGUAGAGGUGAAAUUCGUAGAUAUUCGCAAGAACACCAGUGGCGAAGGCGGCUCACUGGCCCCGGUACUGACGCUGAGG
rnacentral:rRNA from 1 species